UACGUAGGGUGCAAGCGUUGUCCGGAAUUAUUGGGCGUAAAGAGCUCGUAGGCGGUCUGUCGCGUCUGCUGUGAAAACUCAGGGCUUAACCCUGAGCUUGCAGUGGGUACGGGCAGACUAGAGUGCGGGUAGGGGGAGACUGGAAUUCCUGGUGUAGCGGUGAAAUGCGCAGAUAUCAGGAGGAACACCGGUGGCGAAGGCGGGUCUCUGGGGCAGUAACUG
rnacentral:rRNA from 1 species